UUAGUGCCAUUUGUGUCAAUCCCC
rnacentral:siRNA from 1 species